AUUGAACGCUAGCGGGAUGCCUUACACAUGCAAGUCGAACGGAGUGGCGAACGGGUGAGUAAUGUAUCGGAACGUGCCCAGUAGCGGGGGAUAACUACGCGAAAGCGUAGCUAAUACCGCAUACUAUUGGAGCGGCCGAUAUCGGAUUAGCUAGUUGGUGGGGUAACGGCUCACCAAGGCGACGAUCCGUAGCUGGUUUGAGAGGACGACCAGCCACACUGGGACGGAGACACGGCCCAGACUCCUACGGGAGGCAGGAGUGGUGAAUUUUGGACAAUGGGGGAAACCCUGAUCCAGCCAUCCCGCGUGUGCGAUGAAGGCCUUCGGGUUGUAAAGCACUUUCAGCGAGGAGGCGUUACUCGCAGAAGAAGCACCGGCUAACUCCGUGCCAGCAGCCGCGGUAAUUC
rnacentral:rRNA from 1 species